GUCCGGCUCAAAGGAGUCAUAACAUGUUUUUAAAACUGAUGUGGGGAUUGGGUCUAAAGGCAGGUGGUUGACUUUAACUGGGAGAAAACCCGACCAACACAGCAUCAACCAGGACAAAACUUUCCAGUGUUUCCUCUGAUAAAUACAAUGCUGUCAUGGCAGCAGCUGCCCUGCUGCUAAUCAUCUGAUUCCCUCCACCUGUGCCUGCUCCUAUAAAGCUCUGCCUCUGCCUUUCACUCUUGCUGGAUCUUUGCACUGCAAGAAGACUCACCUGCUCUGUUUGUUGCCAGCAAAAUCCUGUUCUGCUGACCACUCUGUUGAACUCAAAGCCAACAUACUCAGCCUGUGUUCCUGCCUCUGCUCUCAGCCAAAUCCUGUUCUGCCUGCCUGCCCAACUCAAGCCAGCCUGUGUUCCUGCAUCUGCUAUAGUCUUCAUGGUGCCUGAUUAUGUCUGCCUGCUCCUGUCUCUCUGCUGCAUCAUUUCACCCCAAGCCUCUUUACUGCGCCCUCCUGGCUUUCCCUCUCCACAUUACAUUUGUGUCUGGAGCCACGCCUUCCCCUGCUCUUCAGAGGACUCCUCUCCGUCCCUGCAGUCUGUUCUCUUCAUCCCAUGUCCGUGCAUUGGCUGCGUUGUUUGACGCCAGGGGGUCCUCAAAGACUUAAUAAAUCUGGUUUCUUGAA